rnacentral:rRNA from 1 species
CCCUUAGAUGUUCGGGGCCGCACGCGCGCUACACUGAAUGAAUCAGCGAGUGUAUGUCCUAGGCCGAAAGGUCCGGGUAACCCGUUGAACCUCAUUCGUGAUUGGGAUAGGGACUUGCAAUUGUUUCCCUUGAACGAGGAAUUCCCAGUAAGCGCAAGUCAUCAGCUUGCGUUGAUUACGUCCCUGCCCUUUGUACACACCGCCCGUCGCACCUACCGAUUGGAUGGUCCGGUGAAGCCUCGGGAUUGUGGUUCUUGCCGCUUUAUUGUGGCGUGACCGCGAGAACUUGUCUAAACCUUAUCAUCUAGAGGAAGGUGAAGUCGUAACA